rnacentral:rRNA from 1 species
GACGUAGGGGGCAAGCGUUGUUCGGAAUUACUGGGCGUAAAGGGCGCGUAGGCGGCACAGCAAGUCGGGAGUGAAAGCCCGGGGCUCAACCCCGGAAUGGCUUUCGAAACUGCUGAGCUAGAGUACAGAAGGGGCAACCGGAAUUCCCAGUGUAGCGGUGAAAUGCGUAGAUAUUGGGAAGAACACCUGAGGCGAAGGCGGGUUGCUGGGCUGAUACUGACGCUGAGGCGCGAAAGCCAGGGGAGCAAACGGG